rnacentral:rRNA from 1 species
AGUAAUCGCGGAUCAGCAUGCCGCGGUGAAUACGUUCCCGGGCCUUGUACACACCGCCCGUCACACCAUGGGAGUUUGUAACACCCGAAGUCAGUAUCCUAACCGCGAAGGGGGGAGCUGCCGAAGGUGGGAUAAGCGACUGGGGUGAAGUCGUAACAAGGUAAC